UGAGCAUGCGUCCCAUUAGUCUAGUUGGUAAGGUAACGGCUUACCAAGGCUACGAUGGGUAGGGGUCCGUGAGAGGGAGAUCCCCCACACUGAUACUGAGACACGGACCAGACUCCUACGGGAGGCAGCAGUGAGGAAUAUUGGACAAUGGGCGCAAGCCUGAUCCAGCCAUGCCGCGUGCAGGAUGACGGUCCUAUGGAUUGUAAACUGCUUUUGUACAGGAAGAAACACUCCCUCGUGAGGGAGCUUGACGGUACUGUAAGAAUAAGGAUCGGCUAACUCCGUG
rnacentral:rRNA from 1 species